CCGUCGCACCUACCGAUUGAAUGUUUCGGUGAAGAUUCCGGACUGUGGCUCGCGUGCUUCACGGCGCUCCUGCCGUGGGAAGUUAUCUAAACCUCAACAUUUAGAGGAAGGUGAAGUCGUAACAAGGUUUCCGUAGGUGAACCUGCGGAAGGAUCAUU
rnacentral:rRNA from 1 species